rnacentral:rRNA from 1 species
CAGCAGCCGCGGGAAUACGUAGGGUGCAAGCGUUAAUCGGAAUUACUGGGCGUAAAGCGUGCGCAGGCGGUUUGUUAAGACAGAUGUGAAAUCCCCGGGCUUAACCUGGGAACUGUAUUUGUGACUGCGAGCUAGAGUAUGGCAGAGGGGGGUAGAAUUCCACGUGUAGCAGUGAAAUGCGUAGAGAUGUGGAGGAAUACCGAUGGCGAAGGCAGCCCCCUGGGCCAAUACUGACGCUCAUGCACGAAAGCGUGGGGAGCAAACAGGAUUAGAUACCCCUGUAGUCCCUGUCUCUUAUACA